UAUGUAGGGUGCAAGCGUUAAUCGGAAUUACUGGGCGUAAAGCGUGCGCAGGCGGUUGUGCAAGACAGAUGUGAAAUCCCCGGGCUCAACCUGGGAAUUGCAUUUGUGACUGCACGGCUAGAGUGUGUCAGAGGGGGGUAGAAUUCCACGUGUAGCAGUGAAAUGCGUAGAGAUGUGGAGGAAUACCGAUGGCGAAGGCAGCCCCCUGGGAUAACACUGACGCUCAUGCACGAAAGCGUGGGGAGCAAACAGG
rnacentral:rRNA from 1 species